rnacentral:rRNA from 1 species
UACGGGGGGAGCAAGCGUUGUUCGGAUUUACUGGGCGUAAAGAGCGUGUAGGCGGCCAGAUAGGUCAGCUGUGAAAACUCGAGGCUCAACCUCGAGAUGUCGGCUGAAACCAUCUGGCUAGAGUCCGGAAGAGGAGAAUGGAAUUCCCGGUGUAGCGGUGAAAUGCGCAGAUAUCGGGAAGAACACCCGUGGCGAAGGCGGUUCUCUGGGACGGUACUGACGCUGAGACGCGAAAGCGUGGGGAGCGAACAGG